rnacentral:lncRNA from 1 species
UUCAUGCAGUUUACAGGCUUUAAUGAAAAAGAAAGAGAUAGAAACAGUUAUAACAUGUCUCAAGAAACAUUAUGGGAAAUCAAAGAAAAACAUAGAUUAGAAAAACAAGUCCUUUCCUCUUCUAUACCCUAAGCAUAUCUCCAUGCCAGUAAAAAAAUCUCAAAACAUCAAGGGAAACAAUGACCAAGCUCAAGUCUGAGAAAAAUAAACUUUUCGAAAAGCCUAUACCUGGAAACUCAUCUGAGACGAUGAAAGUAUUGCUGAUUUGCCUCCGUCAUCUCCUGAAUCACCGUCGAGGCUUCUCCAAUCUACCAGACAUCUUGUUUACGAUGAAAUCUAUCCUUGGUGAGCAGGUGAGCUAUUUGAUUCCCCACUCUCUUGAUAUGUUGGAACUUAAUUCUUUUAAAACCCACUG